GAUGAACGCUAGCUACAGGCUUAACACAUGCAAGUCGAGGGGAAACGACAUCGAAAGCUUGCUUUUGAUGGGCGUCGACCGGCGCACGGGUGAGUAACGCGUAUCCAACCUGCCCAUCACUUGGGGAUAACCUUGCGAAAGUAAGACUAAUACCCAAUGAUAUCUCUAGAAGACAUCUGAAAGAGAUUAAAGAUUUAUCGGUGAUGGAUGGGGAUGCGUCUGAUUAGCUUGUUGGCGGGGUAACGGCCCACCAAGGCAACGAUCAGUAGGGGUUCUGAGAGGAAGGUCCCCCACAUUGGAACUGAGACACGGUCCAAACUCCUACGGGAGGCAGCAGUGAUGAAUAUUGGUCAAUGGGCGAGAGCCUGAACCAGCCAAGUAGCGUGCAGGAAGACGGCCCUAUGGGUUGUAAACUGCUUUUAUAAGGGAAUAAAGUGAGAGUCGUGACUCUUUUUGUAUGUACCUUAUGAAUAAGGACCGGCUAAUUCCGUG
rnacentral:rRNA from 1 species